rnacentral:lncRNA from 1 species
AACAGUCAAACAGACAAACUGAAAAUCAACAGUUAAUUGUACACAAGCAAUGCAUCAAGCAAAGCAUAAGCCAAUGCUCAACACAAAUGACUUGGAAGCCACCUACAAAACAAACUUAAUGUUAAUCAACAUCAAUCAAAACAAGCAACUCAAGCCAAGUGAAUUAAUUCCUCCAUGCCAUAUGCCUUUUGUCCUGAAAACACAACUCAA